rnacentral:rRNA from 1 species
GAGAGCACUCCUACGGGAGGCAGCAGUGGGGAAUAUUGCACAAUGGGCGCAAGCCUGAUGCAGCCAUGCCGCGUGUAUGAAGAAGGCCUUCGGGUUGUAAAGUACUUUCAGCAGUGAGGAAGGUGGGUAUGUUAAUAGCAUACUCAUUUGACGUUAGCUGCAGAAGAAGCACCGGCUAACUCCGUGCCAGCAGCCGCGGUAAUACGGAGGGUGCGAGCGUUAAUCGGAAUUACUGGGCGUAAAGCGCAUGCAGGUGGUUUGUUAAGUCAGAUGUGAAAGCCCGGGGCUCAACCUCGGAAUUGCAUUUGAAACUGGCAAACUAGAGUACUGUAGAGGGGGUAGAAUUUCAGGUGUAGCGGUGAAAUGCGUAGAGAUCUGAAGGAAUACCGGUGGCGAAGGCGGCCCCCUGGACAGAUACUGACACUCAGAUGCGAAAGCGUGGGGAGCAAACAGGAUUAGAUACCCUGGUAG